AACGAACGCUGGCGGCAGGCUUAACACAUGCAAGUCGAACGCUCGUAGCAAUACGGGAGUGGCGGACGGGUGAGUAACGCGUGGGAACGUGCCCUGAGGUACGGAAUAACUGAGGGAAACUUCAGCUAAUACCGUAUGAGCCCCGAGAGGGGGAAAGAUUUAUCGCCUUGGGAGCGGCCCGCGUCGGAUUAGCUAGUUGGUGGGUAACGGCCUACCAAGGCUUCGAUCCGUAGCUGGUCUGAGAGGACGAUCAGCCACACUGGGACUGAGACACGGCCCAGACUCCUACGGGAGGCAGCAGUGGGGAAUCUUGCGCGAAUGGGGGGCAACCCUGACGCAGCCAUGCCGCGUGAACGAUGAGGGCCUUAGGGUUGUAAAGUUCUUUACCCGUGACGAUGAUGACGGUAACGGGGAAUAAGCUCCGGCUAACUUCGUGCCAGCAGCCGCGGUAAU
rnacentral:rRNA from 1 species